UAGCAUUCAUAUUCAUAUGAUAACCAUCAUAGAUCAUCUAGCAUUAACCAUCAUAUGUCAACGAUCAUAAUAUGUCAACAAUCAUAUAUGCCUACUCAUAUGCAUCUAGCAUUUAUGUUCACAUAUCAACAAUCAUAUUCAUAUAUGCGUCAAAUGAAACCACGCUUUACUUUGGCAUGGAAGCGACCUAAUCGCUUCGGUAAAGCACAACCCACAUUUACUUUAUACCGGAACGUGAGAAAUUCACUUCCCACACUUUUCCAAGAAUCGUGAUCCGCGCUCGCGACAAUUGAAGCCAAAAUGGGGUUUUCCUCGCUAGCUUGCCGUAGGCUCGUCGGAAUGUCGAACCGAGCUUUCCAACGCAUUCGCUUUAUCCUCAAUUAGAUUUAUACGCGAUCAAUUCCAAACGAGACUUCCAAAUCUACAAAAGUGCAUUAUCGAGGUUAGGUUCCAAUGAACCUAUCACUAUUCAAACCUUUAUGCAGGUUCUACAAGAACCUAUAUAGCAACUAAGAACUCCAACUAAUUACCUUAGGCAUACUAGAGGUCAACUCUUUUAGGAUUAAUCCAUCUCAAUUUCUUAUCUCCAACCAUCACUCAUAAAUACAUACAUGCAUACGCACACACAUAUGCUACCAGCAUAGUUGGGAAUUCAGCUUUAGUAAGCUGAAUUCAGCUUACUCACAUAUAGUACCUAUAGCUUUUAUAGGAUUCUAUGUCAAAUUCAGCAACUCAAGCUAAAUCUCUUCAUAAAGUAGCUACCAUAGGCUUCAACCAAAUACUCAAAAAUAUAAGGAAUUAACUCCCUGUACAAACAUCACACAUAGCAGCCCAAAUGGAUACAUGCUGCUAGCUUAAUUCUCAAAGCCUUUGUCUAUAUUUUCAUAAUAAGCAUGCUUCACUAAGCAAGAAAUCCAAACCACGUUCAUUUUAGGGUGAAUAGAACCAGCCCUAACACAAAACACAACUAAUCUUGUUAUAGAGAUAUAGCAAUCUCACCUCGGACUCGCUCUCCAACAAGAUUUCCCAUUGCCGCAGCUUCUUCUCAACUCCAACAGCACCCUCACCACUUCUCCUUCCACCACCCACUCCACUUGGGUUGAGGGAGAGAGGAAAAGAAAAACCAAAAGGAGGAGAAGAACAAAAGAAACGAGAAAAGAGAAGGAAGAGUCCCUGUUCUUGAUCUUCUUCACAGCCACAACCAAACUCCACCUUUUUUUUUCUCCUUCAAUCCCCCCUACAUGCGGUUUUAGAGAGAGAGAGGGAAAGGAAAUGAAA
rnacentral:lncRNA from 1 species